UUUGUAAUUUGAGACUUAGGUGGUUUAUGUGGGGUUUUUUGUUAAACAUAUUUAUAGGGUUUAGAGUAUAGAUGAAAGAAAAAAUUUCUUUAGAGAAGGUUUGAGUGUAAAUUCUAGUAUAAAGUUAAUUAUGUUAAGGUAAGAAUCUGUUUGGUUUUUUUUCCUUUUUGUAGACGGUUUAACAAGUUAAAGGUUGUGUUUGUUUAUAAUUUUUUCGAAUCUGAGUGAUUUUUUUUAAAGAUUGUGUUUGUUUGGUCGAUAACUUACGUAGUAAUUUAAAAAUGUUUUUGUGUGAAAUGCAAAUCGAACUUAGUGAUAGAUCUAUUUCUUGUUUAAUGGUGUGGUUCAGCUUUAUGGGUUGUGAAGAGUUUAAGCUUUCGUAAGGGUUCUUAAUUAGGGUAAGCUUAAUUAAGUGAUAUAAGUGUUAAAUAUUUUGUUUUAAGGAGUUUCUUGUGUUGGGUAGAGAGUGAUCUUUGAAGUAGUGUGAUGUGUUAUAACAUAGUUUUGUUUUUUGACUUCAUUAAUUUUUAAUUUUUAUAGUAUUUUUUUAAACAAGUUAAAUUUAAAAGAUGGUUAAAAUGAGUAAUAAGACGGGUUUUAGGCUAAUUUUUGGUGCGAUAUUGGUUUUAAAUGUUUUAAAUUGAGUAAGGCGUAGAGAGGGACUUCAAAGAGAGGUGAUUGUUUACUAAAAGCUUAUUUUGUUGAUUCUUAUAAUAAAUAAUCUUCGUGCUCGGUAUUAUGUAUACAGUGGAAAAGGAUCCUUAAUAAGUUUGAGUUGUUUUAAUUGAAUUGAUUUUUCCAGAAUAGGGGGGAAUGCUUUUCUUUUGUCUUUCUACGUAUGUAUGAAAUUAGAUUAUCUGUGUAGAUUCAGAUGUGUUGGUUAGGGACGAAAAGACCCCUGGUGAUUUAGGUUAAUAGGUUUGUUUUUGAGAAAAUUUAAGAUCUUUGCUGGGGUGGUGACUAAUAAUAAUUUAACAUUAGUGUUUUGUGAUUUCAUGAUGUUGAAUGUUUUGUGAGAGGGUUAACUUUGAAAGUGGUUAAUAUUAUCAGAAAAAUUAACCCUGGGGCUAACAGCAUAAUAUACUAUAGUGAGAUCUUAUUAUAUAGUUUGUUUGUGACCUCGAUGUCGGCUUUGAUUUUGCUUAUUGGUGUAGGUGCUAAGAGAGUUUGUUUGCUAGCCAAUUAAAAAAUUACAUGAGCUGGGUUAAGGACGGAGUGAUUUAGUUCGGAUUUUAUCUUGAAUAUUAAUUAACAGUUAGUACGAAAGGAACAUUGGUUUAUUAGUUUUUUUCUAAGGAA
rnacentral:rRNA from 1 species